UAGCUGUUUGGUCGUAGACUGAGUGGCUAAGCGAAAGUGAUAAGUAUCCCACCUGGGGAGUACGAACGCAAGUUUGAAACUCAAAGGAAUUGACGGGGGCCCGCACAAGCGGUGGAGCAUGUGGUUUAAUUCGAUGAUACGCGAGGAACCUUACCAGGGCUUAAAUGUAGUGGGACAGGCUUGGAAACAGGCCCUUCUUCGGACUCAUUACAAGGUGCUGCAUGGUUGUCGUCAGCUCGUGCCGUGAGGUGUCAGGUUAAGUCCUAUAACGAGCGCAACCCCUGUUGUUAGUUGCCAGCGAGUAAUGUCGGGAACUCUAACAAGACUGCCGGUGCAAACCGUGAGGAAGGUGGGGAUGACGUCAAAUCAUCACGGCCCUUACGUCCUGGGCUACACACGUGCUACAAUGGCCGGUACAGAGAGCAGCCACUGGGCGACCAGGAGCGAAUCUAUAAAGCCGGUCACAGUUCGGAUUGGAGUCUGCAACCCGACUCCAUGAAGCUGGAAUCGCUAGUAAUCGGAUAUCAGCCAUGAUCCGGUGAAUACGUUCCCGGGCCUUGUACACACCGCC
rnacentral:rRNA from 1 species